GAUGAUCCCCGAUUUACCUCACCACUCCUUGCUAAUUCAUCCUAUAUACCGCCAUCUUCAGUUAACCCUAAAAAGGAAAUAAAGUAAGCCUAAUCAGUAUUACUAAAGAAGUUAGGUCAAGGUGUAGCCCAUGGAGUGGAGCGAAAUGGGCUACAUUUUCUAUUACUAGAACAUUACGAAACUCUACGUGAAAUCCGUAGAAUAAAGGAGGAUUUAGUAGUAAAUUAAAACUAGAGUGUUUAAUUGAAUAGAGCAAUGAAGCACGCACACACCGCCCGUCACCCUCCUCAAUUUCUCAACAAUUAAAAGUACAUAACACCUAAUUACAAAAGAUUGAGAGGAGACAAGUCGUAACAAGGUAAGUGUACUGGAAAGUGCACUUGGAAAAAUCAAAAU
rnacentral:ncRNA from 1 species